GAGCGUAGAGGUGAAUGCCUUGGCAUCAGGAGCCGAUGAAGGACGUGGUAAGCUGCGAUAAGCUGCGGUAAGUUGCAAACAAACAUUAUACCCGCAGAUUUCCGAAUGGGGAAACCCACAUGGAGUCAUGUCCAUGUAUCAUACACUGAAUACAUAGGUGUAUGAGGGGAACCGUCUGAACUGAAACAUCUAAGUAGGACGAGGAAAAGAAAUCAACCGAGAUUCCGCUAGUAGUGGCGAGCGAAAGCGGAAGAGGCUAAACCAUAGGCAGCAAUGUCUAUGGGGUUUUGGACUGCAUUUAGCAUUGAUGAAUUCUAGAAGAAACGCAUGGGAAGGCGUACCGAAGAGUGUGAUAGUCACGUAAUCAAAAGAUGAAAUCAGCGAGCAGUAUCCGGAGUACCGCGGGACACGUGAAACCCCGUGGGAAGAUGGGGGGACCAUCCUCCAAGCCUAAAUACUACCUGAUGACCGAUAGCGAAUAGUACUGUGAAGGAAAGGUGAAAAGAACCCCGGGAGGGGAGUGAAAAAGAACCUGAAACCCUAUGCUUACAAGCACUGAGAGCACGUCAAUGUGUGAUCAGGUACCUAUUGUAGAAUGGUCCGGCGAGUUAUGGUAUACAGCGAGGUUAAGCGAUUAAGUCGUGAAGCCGAAGCGAAAGCGAGUGUUAACUGCACGAAUAAGUUGUAUGCUAUAGACCCGAAACCGGGUGACCUAUCCAUGUCCAGGCUGAAGUCAAGGUAAAACUUGAUGGAGGGCCGAACCCACUCCCGUUGAAAUGGUAGGGGAUGAGGUGUGGAUAGCGGUGAAAUUCCAAUCGAACCCGGAUAUAGCUGGUUCUCCUCGAAAUAGCUUUAGGGCUAGCCUCGAGAAAAGAUUAUCGGAGGUAAAGCACUGAAUGAGCUAGGGGCCGAGAGGUUACCGAACUCUAUCAAACUAAGAAUGCCGAAUAAUCGUUGCUCGGGAGUCAGACAGUGUGAGAUAAGUUUCAUUGUCGAAAGGGAAAGAGCCCAGACCCACAGCUAAGGUCCCCAAGUACAUUUAAGUGGAAAAGGAUGUGGAAUUGCACAGACAACCAGGAUGUUGGCUUAGAAGCAGCCAUACAUUUAAAGAGUGCGUAAUAGCUCACUGGUCGAGUGAUUCUGCGCCGAAGAUUUAACGGGGCUAAAGUGUACACCGAAGCUUGGGCUUGACAGUAAUGUCAGGGGUAGGGGAGCGUCGUAUAUGGAGUGAAGUCGUAUCGUAAGGGACGGUGGACUGUAUACGAGUGAGAAUGCCGGAAUGAGUAGCGCGAAUUGUGUGAGAAUCACAAUGGCCGAAAACCUAAGGUUUCUGGAGGAAGGUUCGUCCGCUCCAGGUAAGCCGGGAGCUAAGGUCAGGCCGAAAGGCGUAGCCGAUGCACAUAUAGUUGAAAUUCUAUAGCCUCAGAAAGAUUUAAGCAGAGGGACACUUUUGGAUGGAUGUAGCCGGGCGAUGGUUGCCCCGGUCGUAAGCGAGCGAAAUAUAAGUAGUGAAGUACAUCUUGAAGAGAGGCGAGAAAAGCUUUGUGUAUAUCUUAUGAGCCCGUACCGCAAACCGACACAGGUAGGUAGGAUGAGGAUUCUAAGGCCAACGGGAGAAGGGUAGUUAAGGAACUCGGCAAAUUGACCCCGUAACUUCGGGAGAAGGGGAGCCGACGCUCAAUCAAGCUAUUAGCAUGAUUGCAGCAAAGAAAAGGAUAUAUUAAUAUAUUUUUUAAAAAAAGUGAUAAUAGGAGUUUAGUUCGACUUUUAAUAUCAAAGAAAAGCAAUCGUGCGAUGUUUUGAUUGAGCGUCGGCCGCAGUGAAACGGCCCAGGCGACUGUUUAUCAAAAACACAGCUAUAUGCUAAAUCGAAAGAUGAUGUAUAUGUGGUGACACCUGCCCAGUGCUGGAAGGUUAAGAGGAGAUGUGAGAGCAUUGAAUUGAAGCCCCAGUAAACGGCGGCCGUAACUAUAACGGUCCUAAGGUAGCGAAAUUCCUUGUCAGGUAAGUUCUGACCCGCACGAAUGGUGUAACGAUCUGGGCACUGUCUCAACAACCCGCCCGGCGAAAUUGUAGUACCGGUGAAGAUGCCGGUUACCCGCGACUAGACGGAAAGACCCCAUGGAGCUUUACUGUAGCUUAAUAUUGGAUUUUGGCAUUUCAUGUACAGGAUAGGUGGGAGACUAGGAAGCAUAGGCGUUAGCUUAUGUGGAGUCACCCUUGGGAUACCACUCUUGAAGUGCUGAAAUUCUAACCUGCAACCCUGAAUCGGGUUGGGGGACAUUGUUAGGUGGGCAGUUUGACUGGGGCGGUCGCCUCCUAAAAAGUAACGGAGG
rnacentral:rRNA from 1 species